GUGUCCAAACCCAACCCCUCGCCCUCCCUCCCCACGAACCCCUCCUCCCUUCCAGAUCGAGAGAGAGAGGCAGAUCGAGAUCUUGCCUCCCCCUUCCAGAUCCGCGCCGCCACCUCCCUACUUCGACUCCCCCGACGACGAGCUGAAGACUGUAAUGGCGAUGGCAUCCUCCACCACCGCCUCCAUCUCCACGGCGUCCCUGCGCGCACUCGCCGGCUCCUCCCCGGCCCCGCUCCCAAAGCCGUUCCUCGUGCUGCUCUCCCCGGCCCUCCCGCACCGCCUCGGCCUCGGCCUCUGCGCCGCCCGCUUGCGCCGUUCACCGCCUCUGACUCCUUCGAGGUGAGCUGCUUUUCCUCUUACCUAGCUACCUCUUCGCUGCUACUGCUGCGGCGGCGGUCGCUCCUUUGUCCGCUCGUUCGUUGGUAUGCACAGAUACACACGCUUUCUUGCUGAAUAGAAUGCCUGAAACACCGGCUUGGUGAUAACCUACUACGUUGGUGAAUAAAAUGUCGCAAACUCUAAAAUUAACACAAAACUGAAAAUUGGCAUAUUCAGUUCUGGACAGUGUCUAGUUGAAUGCGGUGGCUACCCUGUUUGAGCUCAUUAGGAGGGGCUGAUGGAUCUUUAUGUUAGUACUCGCCACCUCCCUACUUCGAGCCUAGUAUACAAAUCCGCCCAUCAUAGACACCUUCUGGUGUUUUUAUGCCAGAUUGCACAAUUGCCUGAGGCCAAGUCUGGGCUGAAGAUCCAUGGUUUCGUCUAAAGAGCAACAGAACGCAGCCUAGUAUAUUGUUGCUGCUGUCACCUCGAUGUGCGGUGGCGUGUACCAUGUAGUGCAGCGUAGCUUUGUGAAGUUUCUGGAGAACUAUGAAUUUGUCAUGGCCGUGUCCUGAUUUGCAACCUCGCAUGGAACGGAAUAUCAACUUGUGGUUGUUGUUUGCAUCGUAUCAUAAUGAUUCAUAUUCGUGAUGGCACGGUUGUAGUACCGUGGCUCCGUUUAUAUGCAGGAAAAUUAAGGUUGUGAUGCGCACCAGCGUUUCUACCAGGUUGUGAAUCUGUGAUGGAGGCGGAGGACUACCAGGUUGGAAAAUUAAGGUUGUGAUGCGCACCAGCGUUUCUAUCCAUGAUGGCUCAUGUCAGUUUUUAUACCCUUUGGUUGGAUUACUGGAUACAUUGCAGGCCUUUCGUUGAGUAUAAGGGAGUUGUUCCAAUAGAUCGGUUACAGGAUACGAAAAUCUAGCUGGAAAAGGAGGCGAAAGAACUGAUUUCGAAAGGAGCGAAAAAAUUGCCCAAGAAACCUUGGCGUAUAGGAUUUCAUGACUUGGUAUAUUUUGAUUGUUUGCCAUUGAUGCAGGUCUUAGUCUCUGCUUUCCCUUAUGAGGAGGCAGCUAAAUUAUGUGGAGGUGCUCUGCCAAACUACAUUUCAGAGGUUAGUUCAGUUCAAUACUCUUCGACGGAUUUGUCAAAAGUAACAGUACUGUGUCAAAUCUUUACUAUGUGCCAUGCUUAGUGUUUACUGAACAGAGGCAUUGGGAAAUGGAAUUUAGGCACUUAUGUAUGAUUGUAGUUCUGUAUUUGUCUAAUGCAAACAUUACUGUCAAUUGUCAAGUUGAUUCUAAAAUGUCUCAUUAACUUCAUUGCUGCUAAUGGUUGGGUAACAAAAUAAGAUUGUACCUUCGUUAGAAGCAAAGUGCAAGUUGUAUUAGAAAUAAAACAGAAACACUAUUCUGCUUUAAUUUAUGAUGUUCAACAAUUUAACAUCAUGAUGAUGAUUGCUUGUUUUUGUGCCUUGUUUCUAUUCUUGAUCUGUAUCUUAUAGCUCUUAAAAAUAUGGUUGUUUCUUUUACAGGACCUCCAGGCCUAACAAAGUUGAAGUGUGAAGCCUUGAAGCCAAUUGUGUGAAGCUCUACUAAUCCAAGAAUGCAUAUUAUAUAUUGUAAUGAUAGGCAUAUCUCCUUUGUAACAGAUUAGAAAAAUUGUAAUAUACUACCUUCGUGUUAAUUUGAUGAAUUUCACAUGUUCUUUCUGCUCUAUUUGAAAUAUACAUAUCGUAUGCGAUUUGAAAAUGUGUGAAAUGAAAACCUGACGAGAACUUCUUGACAUAUGGG
rnacentral:lncRNA from 1 species